AUCGCUUCUCGGCCUUUUGGCUAAGAUCAAGUGUAGUAUCUGUUCUUAUCAGUUUAAUAUCUGAUACGUCCCCUACCCGGGGACCAUAUAUUAAAUUGAUUUUUGGACUAGGGAGAUGGAAUAGGGGCUUGCUCCGUCCUCUCCACGCAUCGACCUGGUAUUGCAGUACCUCCAGGAACGGUGCACCCCCC
rnacentral:snRNA from 1 species